rnacentral:tRNA from 1 species
UAGAAAAGUGGUGUAGUGGAAGCACCUGGAGUUUUGAUCUCUUGAGCAUGGGUUCGAGCCCCUUCUUUCUAA